rnacentral:rRNA from 1 species
GUCUCAGUUCGGAUUGUAGUCUGCAACUCGACUACAUGAAGCUGGAAUCGCUAGUAAUCGCGAAUCAGCAUGUCGCGGUGAAUACGUUCCCGGGUCUUGUACACACCGCCCGUCACACCAUGGGAGUCGGAAAUGCCCGAAGCCAGUGACCCAACCACAAGGAGGGAGCUGUCGAAGGUGGAGCCGGUGACUGGGGUGAAGUCGUAACAAGGUAAC